rnacentral:rRNA from 1 species
UACGGGGGGGGCAAGCGUUGUUCGGAAUUACUGGGCGUAAAGGGCUCGUAGGCGGCCAACGUAAGUCAGACGUGAAAUCCCUCGGCUUAACCUGGGGAACUGCAUCUGAUACUGGAUGGCUUGAGUUCGGGAGAGGGAUGCGGAAUUCCAGGUGUAGCGGUGAAAUGCGUAGAGUAUCUGGAGGAACACCGGUGGCGAAGGCGGCAUC